CAAUAAGCGGAGGAAAAGAAACCAACAGGGAUUGCCUUAGUAACGGCGAGUGAAGCGGCAAAAGCUCAAAUUUGAAAUCUGGCGCCUUCGGUGUCCGAGUUGUAAUUUGAAGAAGGUAACUUUGGAGUUGGCUCUUGUCUAUGUUCCUUGGAACAGGACGUCACAGAGGGUGAGAAUCCCGUGCGAUGAGAUGCCCAAUUCUAUGUAAAGUGCUUUCGAAGAGUCGAGUUGUUUGGGAAUGCAGCUCUAAGUGGGUGGUAAAUUCCAUCUAAAGCUAAAUAUUGGCGAGAGACCGAUAGCGAACAAGUACAGUGAUGGAAAGAUGAAAAGAACUUUGAAAAGAGAGUGAAAAAGUACGUGAAAUUGUUGAAAGGGAAGGGCUUGAGAUCAGACUUGGUAUUUUGCGAUCCUUUCCUUCUUGGUUGGGUUCUCCGCAGCUUACUGGGCCAGCAUCGGUUUGGAUGGUAGGAUAAUGAUUAAGGAAUGUGGCUCUACUUCGGUGGAGUGUUAUAGCCUUGGUUGAUACUGCCUGUCUAGACCGAGGACUGCGUCUUUGACUAGGAUGCUGGCAUAAUGAUCUUAAGCCACCCGUCUUGAAACACGGACCAAGGAGUCUAACGUCUAUGCGAGUGUUUGGGUGUAAAACCCGUACGCGUAAUGAAAGUGAACGUAGGUGAGAGCUCUUAAGAGUGCAUCAUCGACCGAUCCUGAUGUCUUCGGAUGGAUUUGAGUAAGAGCAUAGCUGUUGGGACCCGAAAGAUGGUGAACUAUGCCUGAAUAGGGUGAAGCCAGAGGAAACUCUGGUGGAGGCUCGUAGCGGUUCUGACGUGCAAAUCGAUCGU
rnacentral:rRNA from 1 species